GGCGCGUUCGUCUAGUGGCCUAGGACGGUUGGUUCUCAACCAACAAAUCGCGGGUUCGACUCCCGCACGCGCUA
rnacentral:tRNA from 1 species